GGGCCCGUAGUUCAGUCCGGCAGAACGUCCCCUUUGCAACGACUGGUUACACCCAUUAGAACCAGCGUCAGGACAGGGGAAGGCCCAGGGUUCAAAUCCCUGCGGGUCCA
rnacentral:tRNA from 1 species